rnacentral:rRNA from 1 species
UAGGCAAAAUGGUGCCGUAACUUCGGGAGAAGGCACGCUGGCAUGUAGGUGAAGUCCUUCGCGGAUGGAGCUGAAGCCAGUCGAAGAUACCAGCUGGCUGCAACUGUUUAAUAAAAACACAGCACUGUGCAAACACGAAAGUGGACGUAUACGGUGUGACGCCUGCCCGGUGCUGGAAGGUUAAUUGAUGGGGUCAGCCGCAAGGCGAAGCUCUUGAUCGAAGCCCCAGUAAACGGCGGCCGUAACUAUAACGGUCCUAAGGUAGCGAAAUUCCUUGUCGGGUAAGUUCCGACCUGCACGAAUGGCGUAAUGAUGGCCAGGCUGUCUCCACCCGAGACUCAGUGAAAUUGAACUCGCUGUGAAGAUGCAGUGUACCCGCGGCAAGACGGAAAGACCCCGUGAACCUUUACUAUAGCUUGACACUGAACAUUGAGCCUUGAUGUGUAGGAUAGGUGGGAGGCUUUGAAGCGUGGACGCCAGUCUGCGUGGAGCCAUCCUUGAAAUACCACCCUUUAAUGUUUGAUGUUCUAACUCGGCCCCAUAAUCUGGGGUGAGGACAGUGUCUGGUGGGUAGUUUGACUGGGGCGGUCUCCUCCCAAAGAGUAACGGAGGAGCACGAAGGUUAGCUAAUCACGGUCGGACAUCGUGAGGUUAGUGCAAAGGCAUAAGCUAGCUUGACUGCGAGAGUGACGGCUCGAGCAGGUACGAAAGUAGGUCUUAGUGAUCCGGUGGUUCUGAAUGGAAGGGCCAUCGCUCAACGGAUAAAAGGUACUCCGGGGAUAACAGGCUGAUACCGCCCAAGAGUUCAUAUCGACGGCGGUGUUUGGCACCUCGAUGUCGGCUCAUCACAUCCUGGGGCUGAAGUAGGUCCCAAGGGUAUGGCUGUUCGCCAUUUAAAGUGGUACGCGAGCUGGGUUUAGAACGUCGUGAGACAGUUCGGUCCCUAUCUGCCGUGGGCGUUGGAAGAUUGAGAGGGGUUGCUCCUAGUACGAGAGGACCGGAGUGAACGCACCACUGGUGUUCGGGUUGUCAUGCCAAUGGCAUUGCCCGGUAGCUAAGUGCGGAAAAGAUAAGCGCUGAAAGCAUCUAAGCGCGAAACUUGCCUCAAGAUGAGUCUUCCCUGGGCCUUUAAGG